AUAAUGUGGCAUAGUGGUUAGAGUGUUAGACUAUGACUCUGGAGACCAGGGUUCGAUUCCCAGCUCAGCUAUA
rnacentral:tRNA from 1 species